UACGUAGGGUGCGAGCGUUGUCCGGAAUUACUGGGCGUAAAGAGCUCGUAGGUGGUUUGUCGCGUUGUUCGUGAAAACUCACAGCUUAACUGUGGGCGUGCGGGCGAUACGGGCAGACUGGAGUACUGCAGGGGAGACUGGAAUUCCUGGUGUAGCGGUGGAAUGCGCAGAUAUCAGGAGGAACACCGGUGGCGAAGGCGGGUCUCUGGGCAGUAACUGACGCUGAGGAGCGGAAGCGUGGGGAGCGAACAGG
rnacentral:rRNA from 1 species